GACGAACGCUGGCGGCGUGCUUAACACAUGCAAGUCGAACGGAAAGGCCUCUUUCGGGGGGUACUCGAGUGGCGAACGGGUGAGUAACACGUGAGUAACCUGCCCUUGACUUUGGGAUAACUUCAGGAAACUGGGGCUAAUACCGGAUAGGAGCUCCUGCUGCAUGGUGGGGGUUGGAAAGUUUCGGCGGUUGGGGAUGGACUCGCGGCUUAUCGGCUUGUUGGUGGGGUAGUGGCUUACCAAGGCUUUGACGGGUAGCCGGCCUGAGAGGGUGACCGGCAACAUUGGGAUUGGAUUACGGCCCGGAUUCCUACGGGAGGAAGCAGUGGGAAUAUUGCACAAUGGGUGGAGGCCUGAUGCAGCAACGCCGUGUGCGGGAUGACGGCCUUCGGGUUGUAAACCGCUUUCGCUCAUGACGAAGCUUUGUGUGACGGUAGUGGGUAAAGAAGCACCGGCUAACUACGUG
rnacentral:rRNA from 1 species